UGCAAGUCGAACGAGAAUCUACUGAAGGAGGAUUCGUCCAACGGAUGUAGAGGAAAGUGGCGGACGGGUGAGUAACGCGUGAGGAACCUGCCUUGAAGAGGGGGACAACAGUUGGAAACGACUGCUAAUACCGCAUGACGCAUAGGGGUCGCAUGAUCUUUAUGCCAAAGAUUUAUCGCUUCAAGAUGGCCUCGCGUCUGAUUAGCUAGUUGGCGGGGUAACGGCCCACCAAGGCGACGAUCAGUAGCCGGACUGAGAGGUUGAACGGCCACAUUGGGACUGAGAUACGGCCCAGACUCCUACGGGAGGCAGCAGUGGGGAAUAUUGGGCAAUGGGCGCAAGCCUGACCCAGCAACGCCGCGUGAAGGAAGAAGGCUUUCGGGUUGUAAACUUCUUUUAAGAGGGAAGAGCAGAAGACGGUACCUCUAGAAUAAGCCACGGCUAACUACGUGCCAGCAGCCGCGGUAAUACGUAGGUGGCAAGCGUUGUCCGGAUUUACUGGGUGUAAAGGGCGUGCAGCCGGGUCUGCAAGUCAGAUGUGAAAUCCAUGGGCUCAACCCAUGAACUGCAUUUGAAACUGUAGAUCUUGAGUGUCGGAGGGGCAAUCGGAAUUCCUAGUGUAGCGGUGAAAUGCGUAGAUAUUAGGAGGAACACCAGUGGCGAAGGCGGAUUGCUGGACGAUAACUGACGGUGAGGCGCGAAAGUGUGGGGAGCAAACAGGAUUAGAUACCCUGGUAGUCCACACUGUAAACGAUGAAUACUAGGUGUGCGGGGACUGACCCCCUGCGUGCCGCAGUAAACACAAUAAGUAUUCCACCUGGGGAGUACGAUCGC
rnacentral:rRNA from 1 species